GAUGAACGCUAGCGGCAGGCCUAACACAUGCAAGUCGAGGGAGAAGCCCUUUCGGGGGCAGAAACCGGCGCACGGGUGCGUAACGCGUAUGCAACCUACCUUUCACAGGGGGAUAGCCCGAAGAAAUUUGGAUUAAUACCCCAUAAUAUUAUUGGAUGGCAUCAUUUGAUAAUUAAAACUGCGGUGGUGAAGGAUGGGCAUGCGUCCUAUUAGCUAGUUGGAGUGGUAACGGCACCCCAAGGCUACGAUAGGUAGGGGUCCUGAGAGGGAGAUCCCCCACACUGGUACUGAGACAGGGACCAGACUCCUACGGGAGGCAGCAGUGAGGAAUAUUGGUCAAUGGUCGGAAGACUGAACCAGCCAUGCCGCGUGCAGGAAGAGUGCCUUAUGGGUUGUAAACUGCUUUUAUAUGGGAAGAAUAAGGUGUACGUGUACAUUGAUGACGGUACCAGAUGAAUAAGCAUCGGCUAACUCCGUG
rnacentral:rRNA from 1 species